CCUACGGGUGGCAGCAGUGGGGAAUAUUGCACAAUGGGGGAAACCCUGAUGCAGCGACGCCGCGUGAGUGAAGAAGUAAUUCGUUACGUAAAGCUCUAUCAGCAGGGAAGAAAUACUGACCUUACGGUCAGCAGACGGUACCUGAGUAAGAAGCCCCGGCUAACUACGUGCCAGCAGCCGCGGUAAUACGUAGGUGGCAAGCGUUAUCCGGAUUGACGGGGUGUAAAGGGAGCGUAGACGGUGCGCCAAGUCUGGAGUGAAAUGCCGCGGCUUAACUGCGGAACUGCUUUGGAAACUGGCGAACUAGAGUGCGGGAGGGGGAAGCGGAAUUCCUAGUGUAGCGGUGAAAUGCGUAGAUAGUAGGAGGAACACCGGUGGCGAAGGCGGCUUACUGGACCGUAACUGACGUUGAGGCUCGAAAGCGUGGGGAGCGAACAGGAUUAGAUACCCCAGUAGUC
rnacentral:rRNA from 1 species